rnacentral:rRNA from 1 species
GUGCCAGCAGCCGCGGUAAUACGGGGGGUGCAAGCGUUGUUCGGAAUUAUUGGGCGUAAAGAGCGUGUAGGCGGUUUGUUAAGUCUGAUGUGAAAGCCCUGGGCUCAACCCAGGAAGUGCAUCGGAAACUGGCAGACUUGAAUACGGGAGAGGGCAGUGGAAUUCCUAGUGUAGGAGUGAAAUCCGUAGAUAUUAGGAGGAACACCGGUGGCGAAGGCGGCUGCCUGGACCGAUAUUGACGCUGAGACGCGAAAGCGUGGGUAGCAAACAGGAUUAGAUACCCUGGUAGUCCACGCUGUAAACGAUGAGAACUAGGUGUUGCGGGUAUUGACCCCUGCAGUGCCGCAGCUAACGCAUUAAGUUCUCCGCCUGGGAAGUACGGUCGCAAGACUAAA